rnacentral:rRNA from 1 species
CUUACACAUGCAAGUCGAACGAGAAAGUCUUUGCUUGCAAAGACGAGUAGAGUGGCGCACGGGUGAGUAACACGUAGAUAAUCUACCUUCAAGCCUGGAAUAACUAUUCGAAAGGAUAGCUAAUACCGGAUAAAGUUUUUAACAUAAGUUAAAUUAUGAAAGAUUGCCUCUUCUUGAAAGCAAUUGUUUGGAGAUGAGUCUGCGGACCAUUAGUUUGUUGGUGGGGUAGAGGCCUACCAAGACUACGAUGGUUAGCUGGUCUGAGAGGAUGAUCAGCCACACUGGAACUGGUACACGGUCCAGACUCCUACGGGAGGCAGCAGUGAGGAAUUUUGCGCAAUGGGGGAAACCCUGACGCAGCAACGCCGCGUGAGUGAAGAAGGCCCUUGGGUCGUAAAGCUCUGUCGACAGGGAAGAAAUUACAAUUAUCCAAUAGGUGAUUGUAUUGACGGUACCUGUAGAGGAAGCACCGGCUAACUCCCUGCCAGCAGCCGCGGUAAUACGGGGGGUGCAAGCGUUAUUCGGAAUUAUUGGGCGUAAAGGGCGCGUAGGCGGUCUUGUCGGUCAGAUGUGAAAGCCCAGGGCUCAACCCUGGACGUGCAUUUGAAACAGCAAGACUUGAAUACUGGAGAGGAGAGCGGAAUUCCUGGUGUAGAGGUGAAAUUCGUAGAUAUCAGGAGGAACACCGAUGGCGAAGGCAGCUCUCUGGACAGAUAUUGACGCUGAGGCGCGAAGGCGUGGGUAGCGAACAGGAUUAGAUACCCUGGUAGUCCACGCAGUAAACGAUGUUCACUAGAUGUAGCGGGUAUUAAAACUUGCUGUGUCGCAGCUAACGCAUUAAGUGAACCGCCUGGGGAGUACGGUCGCAAGACUAAAACUCAAAGGAAUUGACGGGGGCCCGCACAAGCGGUGGAGCAUGUGGUUUAAUUCGACGCAACGCGAAGAACCUUACC